UCGGCACUGUGGGUGGCAUCAGUACAGAUUCACCGCACAGUCUUAAGUGCAUGGCUGGGUACUCCAAGCCCAGUUCUGACAUCUGAAUCUGAAAUGGCAGCCGUGUCAGGAUGAGUUUGUGUUAUAGAGACCCAAUUCCAGUUUUAAAACCGCUGACUCAGAAAUGGAUGUAGCCCCGCAACAAUCAAUCAUGCCACUGAGGUUCUUCGAAGAAGAAGAGCUGCUUCAAGCUCAUGUGCCUCAACUGCUUCAUCAUGACUGAACUGCAGUGUACCAUAUCCUGGCUGACACCAGAGGGCACCAUAGGACUCUUGUGUGUUUCUUCUGUUGCUAAAGGCAUUGAUGUCUAGGGACCUGAAGUGGGCAAAAGUCCUCAAUCCAGAAACCAAAAUGACCCAACAACAGUGGGAGACAUUUAUCACCACACUUCUGACUUAGUCAGAGGACACUGUAAAAACAGAAGG